rnacentral:rRNA from 1 species
AACGAACGCUGGCGGCAUGCCUAACACAUGCCAGUCGAACGAAACCUUCGGGUCUAGGGGCGCACGGGUGCUUAACACGUGGGAACCUGCCCUUAGGUUCGGAAUAACUCCCCGAGAGGGAUGCUAAUACCGGAUAAUGUCUUCGGACCAAAGAUUUCUCGCCUUUGGAUGGGCCCGCGUUGGAUUAGCUGGUUGGUAGGGUAAAAGCCUACCAAGGGGACGAUCCAUAGCUGGUCUGUGAGGAUGAUCAGACCGACUGGGAGUGAGACACGGCCCAGACUCCGGAGGGAGGAAGCAGUGGUGAAGAUUGGACAAUGGGCGCAAGCCGGAGCAAGCAAUGCCGCGUGAGUGAGGAAGGCCUUAGGGUUGCAAAGUUCUUUUACCCGGGAGGAUAAGGACAGUAAAGGGAGAAUGAGGUCCGGCUAACUCCGGG